ensembl:lncRNA
GAAAAGCAAAUGAAUUUCUUGGCUGAACAGGGAAAUGAGUCAAGAUACAUAAAGUUUGGUGACUACUCACAAUCAUUAUGUAAUCAAUGAAAAAAAAUUAUACUAGCAUUCCUAUUUUCAUUUUAGGUCACAUAUUUUGCAUUCAAAGAAUCAGAGACUGGUUGAGGUUGGAAGGGGACCACUGGAGGCCAUCUGCUCCAUCCCACUGCUCAAGCAGGGCCACAGAGAGCCAGCUGUUCAGGACAGCAUCCAGAAUUCAUUUCAAGAUACCCAAAGAUGGUGACUCCGGCACCUUCUGGGCAACCUGUGCCACUGCUCAGUCACCUCCACAGUUUAAAAAAGUAUUUUGUCAUCCACUGUCAAUCACUCAUGGAUGCAAUUUUGGCACUGAACGUGUUUUUAGUUCUAAGAGUGGAAGACAACAACAGCAUCACAGUGACACAGCAUUAACUCCAGGCAUCAUUGUACAGAGCACUGGUGGUGGACACAUCACAGCAGGGAUGGCUCUAACAAGGACUGCUGGCACUGCUGAUGUUGGAAGAGCAGACGGACCUCUCAUUGUUCCAGUGAAAUGAGCUUUCCUGCGAGACAGACAAAUGCAUCACACAGUGGAGUUGUGUGUGAGGACUUGUGCUUUAACCGAUAAGAACACUGCACGGCAGCCAGGUGACCUACAUUCACAGCUGAAGACAUAAAGCUGACACAACAGCGAAUUGCAUCUAACAUACAAACACAGGAGGAGGGCUAGGCAGAUGGGCCGUGCCAUUUAAAAGAAUAACCUGAGCAAGAGCAUCUGCAUGGGGAAAGAUUUUCCUGCUGCCAUAUGUAAGAAGCCAACCAGAUCAAUACUUAAUUUCCAAGGAUUACCAAUGAUUGACAGUACCUGUUGUGCAGGGUGAAGAUUGACAAGUCUGUAAGCAUUUCCAGUGCAAUACCUACUCCCUAGUCAGUCACUAGUGACGCUUUUCUUCUUCCCAAAGCUCAUUCAAGCAGUGCCUGUCCUCUGCUGUUCUGUCCCAGCAAAGGAAUUUGCUCCUCCAAAUUAAAUCUGCUGCUCAGAACUGAGUUUUCCUUUAUUUACAAUUUUAAGGCACAUCUACACUCGUAAAUACUAGACUUGCCUGUUUGGAGGUUUGACAUUUUACUGACAACCAUACAAGUUAGGUUAUGCAGAUGGAACAGACACUGCCAUUUUUAGGUAUAAUUAGCAUUUCAUUUCCUUUCAAACAAUUUCCCCAUCAUGUUCAGCACCGUCAGGGCAAUAGAAAUGUUCAAAAGAACACUCCACUGCAGGCUGGUGUCAUUAAAAAAGUAAGAAAAAAUACCUUAAUAUCUGAACCAAAGCAUUUUUUUUUGUGCUGUUAUCUUUGAUCACUGAGUCAAUACCAGG